UUGAAAAAAUAAUAGCUGAAAAAGAAUCUCAAAUUUGAGGAAAAACAUGGAAAUAUCUUUCAAGAGGCUCAAUACAUUCUAGACCAAACCCAAAGGGACCCACACUAAGACACAUUAAAAUGAAACUGGAAAGUGAGAGACAAAGAAUCUUGAAAGCAACAAGAGAUAAGCAACUUUUCAUGUACACAGGAUCCUAAAUAAGACUAUAGGAAGAUUUCUCCCCAGAAAACUUACAGGCCUUAAAGUGGUGGAACGAAAUAUUUAAAGUGCUGGAAAAAAAUUCCUGUCCACUGAAAAUUUGGUAGUUGGCAAAACUCCUUCAAGAAUGAGAACAAAUUAAGACAUUUCCAGAUAAACAAUAAUGGAAAGGGUGAAAUGCCAUUAUGUCUGCCUACAAGAAAUGCUAAACAAAGUUCUUCAAUUUGGAAUGAAAGGACACUAGACAGAAGCUCAAAACCAAAGAAAAUAUAAAGUUCCCCAGUAAAGGUGAACACAUCGACAAUUUAAAAACUGUUCCUGCUCUUUCCCAUCUUGCAAGAUGGUGGGUGAAAAAGUUGAGAAGCCGGAUACUAAAGAGAAGAAACCUGAAGCCAAGAAGGCUGAUGAUGGUGGCAAGGUGAAAAAGGGUAACCUCAAGGCUAAAAAGCCCAAGAAGGGGAAGCCCCAUUGUAGCCAGAAUGGGGGAAUUGGCAAGUAUUCCUGAUCUGCUAUGUAUUCCAGAAAGGCCAUGUAUAAGAGGAAGUACUCAGCUGCUAAAUCCAAGGUUGAAAAGAAAAAGAAGGAGAAGAUUCUUGCAACUGUUACAAAACCAGUUGGUAGUGACAAAAACGGUGGUACCCGGGUGGUUAAACUUCGCAAAAUGCCCAGAUAUUAUCUUACUGAAGAUGUGCCUCAAAAGCUGUUGAGCCAUGGCAAAGAAACACUUCAGCCAGCAUGUGAGAAAACUGUAACCCAGCAUUACCCCGGGACCAUUGUGAUCAUGUUCACUGGACGCCACAGGGGCGAGAGGGUGGUUUUCCUGAAGCAGCUGGCUAGUGGCUUGUUAUUUGUGACUGGAACUCUGGUCCUCAACCAAGAUCCUCUAUGAAGAACACACCAGAAAUCUGUUAUUGUCACCUCAACCAAAAUUGACAUGAGCAAUGUAAAAAUCCCAAAACAUCUUACUGAUGCUUACUUCAAGAAGAAGCAGCUGUGGCAGCCUAGACACCAGGAAGGUGAGAUCUUCAACACAGAAAAAGAGAAAUAUGAGAUUACAGAGCAGUGCAAGAUUGAUCAGAAAUCUGGGGACUCACAAAUUUUACCAAAAAUCAAAACUAUUCCUCAGCUCCAGGGCUACCUGUGAUUUGUGUUUGCCCUGAUGAAUGGAGUUUAUCCUCACAAAUUGGUGUUCUGAAUGUCUUAAGAACCUAAUUAAAUAACUGAUUGCC